GACGAACGCUGGCGGCGUGCUUAACACAUGCAAGUCGAACGGAAAGGCCCUGCUUUUGUGGGGUGCUCGAGUGGCGAACGGGUGAGUAACACGUGAGUAACCUGCCCUUGACUUUGGGAUAACUUCAGGAAACUGGGGCUAAUAUCGGAUAGGAGCUCCUGCUGCAUGGUGGGGGUUGGAAAGUUUCGGCGGUUGGGGAUGGACUCGCGGCUUAUCAGCUUGUUGGUGGGGUAGUGGCUUACCAAGGCUUUGACGGGUAGCCGGCCUGAGAGGGUGACCGGCCACAUUGGGACUGAGAUACGGCCCAGACUCCUACGGGAGGCAGCAGUGGGGAAUAUGGCACAAUGGGCGGAAGCCUGAUGCAGCAACGCCGCGUGCGGGAUGACGGCCUUCGGGCGGUAAACCGCUUUCGCCUGUGACGAAGCGUGAGUGACGGUAAUGGGUAAAGAAGCACCGGCUAACUACGU
rnacentral:rRNA from 1 species